UCUAAGACGGACAUGCCAGGAGUGUUUGUGCUUCAUAACAAGGGGGAGAGGAAGAUCCAAAGCACCUAGAUCCCUAGUCAUCACAACAUGCCAUGGACCUUGACAAUGGAUCGAUUGCCAAUAAAAGAACUCUUCUUCUGUUGUCUCUUUACAAUUGCAGAAUGACCAAGGCUUAGACACUGUGGCUCUUGCCUCUGAUUCAAAGCCGAAGAAGAAGAUCUGUUGUGCUUGCCCCGACGCUAAGAAGUUGAGAGACGAGUGCACUGUGGAGCAUGGUGAAUCAGCUUGUGAAAAAUGGAUCGAGGCACACAAAAGAUGCCUCCGUGCAGAAGGUUUCAAUAUUUGAGAUUGAGGUUGUGAUAAACUUGAGAAAAUUAGAUGAUACUUUUUGGGCUUGUUACUAAUUGAUAUAGUGGUUAUCUACAUAAUUAUUUUGGGAAUGAUAAUUCAAACUCUUUAUGUUCA